GACGAACGCUGGCGGCGUGCCUAAUACAUGCAAGUCGAACGCACAGUUUAUACCGUAGCUUGCUACACCAUAGACUGUGAGUUGCGAACGGGUGAGUAACGCGUAGGUAACCUGCCUGGUAGCGGGGGAUAACUAUUGGAAACGAUAGCUAAUACCGCAUAAUAUUGAUUAUUGCAUGAUAAUUGAUUGAAAGAUGCUAUUGCAUCACUACCAGAUGGACCUGCGUUGUAUUAGCUAGUAGGUGAGGUAACGGCUCACCUAGGCGACGAUACAUAGCCGACCUGAGAGGGUGAUCGGCCACACUGGGACUGAGACACGGCCCAGACUCCUACGGGAGGCAGCAGUAGGGAAUCUUCGGCAAUGGACGAAAGUCUGACCGAGCAACGCCGCGUGAGUGAAGAAGGGUGUCGGAUCGUAAAGCUCUGUUGUAAGAGAGGAACGGGUGUGAGAGUGGAAAGUUCACACUGUGACGGUAUCUUACCAGAAAGGGACGGCUAACUACGUG
rnacentral:rRNA from 1 species